CUAAGAAUCUUCCGCAAUGGGCGCAAGCCUGACGGAGCGACGCCGCGUGGACGAUGAAGGCCGAAAGGUUGUAAAGUCCUUUUCUCUGUGAAGAAUAAGUGGGGGAGGAAAUGCCCCCAUGAUGACGUUAGCAGAGGAAUAAGCCCCGGCUAAUUACGUGCCAGCAGCCGCGGUAAUACGUAAGGGGCGAGCGUUGUUCGGAUUUAUUGGGUGUAAAGGGCGCGUAGGCGGUUUAGCAAGUCUGGUGUUGAAGGCAACAGCUUAACUGUUGUUUGGCGCUGGAAACUGUUAGACUUGAGUUUAGGAGGGGGAGCUGGAAUUCCAGGUGUAGGGGUGAAAUCUGUAGAUAUCUGGAAGAACACCGGUGGCGAAGGCGAGCUCCUGGCCAUAGACUGACGCUGAGGCGCGAAAGCGUGGGGAGCGAACA
rnacentral:rRNA from 1 species